UAAUAAUUAACAUAAAAAUACAAUUUUAAAUAACAUAAAAGAAUAUCUACUUAUUAUUUAAUACUUUUUAUAAUAGAUGGCAUUCUAUAGGCAACAAUUGUAUCUUUGAUCGUGGUACCUUAAGCAAGUAUACUUUAAUUUGAUUCAUUAAAUAGACAAAAGGUUUNGUCUUUUUAUUAUAUUCUUCGCCUAAUAAUUAACAUAAAAAUACAAUUUUAAAUAACAUAAAAGAAUAUCUACUAAUUAUUUAAUACUUUUUAUAAUAGAUGACAAUCAAUAGGCAACAAUUGUGUCGUUGAUCGUGGUACCUUAAGCAAGUAUACUUUAAUUUGAUUCAUUAAAUAGACAAAAGGUUUUAGAAGUUUAAAUACAAAUAAAUUAUUGCACAAAUUAAUCAUAUGUUUUCGCUUUUUUUGUACCUACUGAUGAUUUUGUAAAACUAUAACCUGUGGUAAACACACACAACAUUAUACAAUAUUCUAGGCUUUUAUAAUGAUAUUUUAGAUUUUUUAUUUAGACAAAAUUUAUAUGUUGUAUAUAUAAUAUUAUCAUAAACCUCAUAACGUUAACAUUAUUUAACAGUGGUGUAUAUAGGAAAAGGCGCAGUGGGCCAUAGAACCUCUAGAAAUUUCUUUCAAGCACUUUUAAAAUUAACAGGAAUGUGACAUUUUUUUCCGUAAAUCGUCUAAAACAAGUUAAUCAUUUCCUAUAUUAUAUGUUUCAAAUUAAAUACUGAUCAGUGAUUACCCUGUUUAGUAAAAUAUUUUUUAAAGCCAGAGUUUUUGAAUUUCAUUUAUUAUCAUAAUAAUAAAGGUUUUACUAACGGUUAUCUAGAUAAAGGUGGUUUUACCUUAUCAUUAAGACAAAUUAGGUUAAGUUCGAAAACACAGGUAGGUGAUUGUAGCAGAUUGAUGUAAAUAGCACUGUUAAACAGAAACCCACACACAAUCUCUGUCUAUUUUCUCACAUUUGUCUACGAUCGAAACCUAAGUAUUUUCAUCUUCGUUUACACUCAUUCUCUGUUAUAUUUUCUAUACAAUUAGCAGUUACCAUAAUAUUUUUUUUUUUUUUUUUUUAAUCUAGUGCCACAUAGGAUCCAAAGUCUCGAAUUUAUUACAGAAAUAUUACAAUAUUAAAGUUUAAUUAUAUACAUUUCAUGAACCAUUAUGAACAUGGUAGUGUAAUAUGGUAUUUACUAUUUCGCCUAUCGAAUUUUAUUUACUAAUUUAUUAUUAACGAUUACAAUAAUAUUACUGUUACAUUUUUUUCAUAAUAUUUUAAGUACAUUAUCUAUAACAUUUAUUAUUGUACUAUUACAUAUUAAAUAUCAUCUAUCUUAUAAGUUUAAUGAUAUUAAAUGCGAUUGAUAAUACAAAACGUUUAAUUUUAUUGAUCUAUCACAAAUUUACAAUUUAUUCAAUAUAAUAUACAUAAUUAUAAAUAUAAUACAAUACAAUGCAAUAUAUUUUUUAAUUUUCUUUUAAUAAACAUUUAGUAGUGAAAAACAAAAAUAUGGGCGAAAUGUCUAGUUCCAACAAAAUCGGUUUAAAUGGAACUCNUCUAUUUUCUCACAUUUGUCUACGAUCGAAACCAAUCCUAUGUUUCUUCUAAUGUACUCAUUAUUUAUCCGAUUGUCACUCUACUUAUCCACCUAAGUAUUUUCAUCUUCGUUUACACUUAUUCUCUGAUAUAUUUUUUGUACACCACCCAACACUCGGACCAUACAACAUAGUUGGUCUCAUUACAGUUUUAUAGAACUUACCUUUUAAUCGUAUUCGAAUUCUAUUGUUAAAUAAACACCUGACGCUUCUCUACAUUUUAUCCAACUACACUUUAUCGUAUGUUUCGAAUUUUCACCAACCACCGUUCUUUUGUACAAAAGACACAUAAUACACUUAACCUCACUAAACAUUUCACCACUUAUUGUCGUUAACUAUUUUGCUCAGUUUUUCUAAACUUUUAUUUCUACUUAUCCUAAGUUUUUUUUCUUCAAAUGUUAUCUACAUUAUUCUCUCCUAUCAAAGCUAUAUCAUCUUCAAACAUAAUUCACAAUAAUACCUCUACUAAUCGGUUUUCCUCUUGUAUAUCCUAGAAAGGACAAGCUAGAUGGGAGCACUUGUUUUCGAUCUGAAGCAACCCUUUUUGUCACCUCGUAUGACAGGUAGCGUGGGAAUAUUGUGAUCCUCUCGCACAAGGAAAAUUUACUUAAAUAUUAUCUAUUUUAUUAGUUAAAUUUAUCUUGCCUCAAUAAUUUAAAUAUAUAAUUUAUUCAUGAAUGAAUUAUUUGUAUGGCCGUAAUAGAAGUAAGCAAUUUUUUUGGUUAGUUAUAUUACGGUUAUGGUUAUUCUCUUGAUAACUAGGUUUUUAUAGCUCAAAAAGAAAUUCUAUGUAUUUCAGCUAUAAUGUGAAUGGAAAUUAUUUUCAUACAAUUAGCAAUUACCAUAAUAUUUUUUUUUUUUUUUUUUUUUUUUUUUUUAAUCUAGUGCCACAUAAGAACCAAAGUCUCAAUUUUAUUACAGAAAUAUUACAAUAUUAAAGUUUUAUUAUAUACAUUUAAUGAACCAUUAUGAACAUGGUAGUGUAAUAUGAUAUUUACUAUUUCGCCUUUCGAAUUUUAUUUACUAAUUUAUUAUUAACGAUUACAAUAAUAUUACUGUUACAUUUUUUUCAUAAUAUUUUAAGUACAUUAUCUAUAACAUAUAUUAUUGUACUAUUACAUAUUAAAUAUCAUCUAUCUUAUAAAUUUAAUAAUAUUAAAUGCGAUUGAUAAUACAAAACGUUUAAUUUUAUUGAUCUAUCACAAAUUUACAAUUUAAUCAAUAUAAUAUACAUUAUUAUAAAUAUAAUACAAUACAAUGCAAUAUAUUUUUUAAUUGUCUUUUAAUAAACAUUUAGUAGUGAAAAACAAAAAUAUGGGCGAAAUGUCUAGUUCCAACAAAAUCGGUUUAAAUGGAACUCAGCCUCGCAAAAGAAGAAAAUAAUCCACAUAUACCACAUUAUUAGCUGUUAUUUGUGAACAAUCCCCCACGUCUGUUCCGUUGUUCAUUUCUAUCUUUCUCAUCUUCUUCUCCUUCGCUUUCAUUUCUAAAAUUUUAGAUCGACCACCCUCGUCCUAAAGACUUCGAUUUUACCCAAUCC
rnacentral:lncRNA from 1 species